rnacentral:rRNA from 1 species
UGGCGUACUGCUCAGUAACACGUGGAUAAUCUGCCCUAAGGUCAGGCAUAACUCCGGGAAACUGGUGAUAAUACCUGAUAUGUCAUAGAUACUGGAAUGUUCUGUGAUUCAAAGCUCCGGUGCCUUAGGAUGAAUCUGCGGUCUAUCAGGUAGUAGUGGGUGUAGUGUACCUACUAGCCUACGACGGAUACGGGUUGUGAGAGCAAGAGCCCGGAGAUGGAUUCUGAGACAUGAAUCCAGGCCCUACGGGGCGCAGCAGGCGCGAAAACUUUACAAUGCGGGAAACCGCGAUAAGGGAAUACUGAGUGCCAGCAUAUUAUGUUGGCUGUCCACCUGUAUAAAUAGCAGGUGUUAGCAAGGGCCGGGCAAGACCGGUGCCAGCCGCCGCGGUAACACCGGCGGCCCGAGUGGUGGCCACUAUUAUUGGGUCUAAAGGGUCCGUAGCCGGUUUGAUCAGUCUUCCGGGAAAUCUGACAGCUCANCUGUNAGGCUUCCGGGGGAUACUGU